UAUAGGAACUCGCACAGCCUGUAGGAUGCUCCGCGGGCCUUGUGCUCGGCCCCAGAGCCAGGGUUCGGCCAGAGGCAGAGCACCUAGAGUACCCUAAAGGAGACACACUCCAAGAUGCUGCUCAGCGCCACCCCACUUGCUCUCUUCGCCUUUGAUGGUCCCGAGCCACAAACAGGUGUGGGGCACAGUCUCUUUGCUCCAAGUGGCAGGGACCCCUCGCGGUUACUUCGGACGAAUAGCUGGAGAAGACCAGAGCCCAGAGCAGAGGCAGGCCUGAGCCGAGCGCGCUGCCCAGGCAGCCAGGCAGCUUGGUUUUCCACAGACAUCAAAAGACCUGGAAAUCCGCCCAUCUUUGGGAGAACAGAAGAUCAGCCCAUGCUGCCACGAGGGCCAGCCACCCGGAGAGCAAUCACAGUGAGCUGGAGAACAGGUGCUUCCUCUUCCUGCCGUUUGGGGACCUGCCACUUUGCCUUUUGAUGAUUGUCAGGUAUGGACCACAGGUCCAUUAUAAUUGUUUGGAAACAGCUCCUUCCUUGAAUUGCUUUGGAAUUAAACAUGGAACAUCAAUUGAGGACUGUUUGACACACAGUCAGCCAACCACCAGCAACAACAUCGGCCGCAACCACACAGUUCAGGGCACCACCUCUACAUCCUCUGAGAAGUUCCCAGAAUUCCAAACGUCAUACCCUCAUGGAAACUAUCUGAGGCCGGCAAAACCACACCACUGCUAGAGCAUGAGGCAAAUCAUAGUCAACCUCUGUGAAGUGGCCUUUUAUUCCCACACCUGGGAUUAAAAGGAAAAUAUA